rnacentral:lncRNA from 1 species
UUAUGAUUUUCAUUAUUUCAGCAAAAAGGAAUGUAAUAGGAGAGCAGGGUGAUAAUAAGGAGAAGGUCAACAAAAAACAUGUGAGCAAAAGAAUCUAUAUCAUAAUUAAGUUCAAGGGAAGGUACUAUGACUGGACUUGCACGUAGGCCAGAUUUAUGUUUCUCUCCACCCAAAUAUCUCAGUGGGGUAAAGAACAACAAGGCAGCAUUACUGCAACAUGUCUCGCCUCCCGCCACAGGGCAGCUUUUCUCCUAGCUCAGACUUGAACAAAUGUACAAUCGGGUUUACACCGAGACAUUCAAUUCCCAGGGGCAAGCAGGAGACAGUGGCCUUCCUCCAUCUCAACUGCAAGAGGCUUUCCUCUUUGACUAAUCCACCUCAGCGCAGACGCUUUAUGGGUGUCAGGCUGGGGGACAGUCAGGUCUUUCUCAUCCCACGAGGCCAUAUUUCAGACUAUCACAUAGGGAGAAACCUUGGACAAUACACUGCUUUCAAGGGCAGGGCUCCCUGCGGCUUUCCACGGUGCAUUGUGCCCCUGGUUUAUUGUGACUAGAGAAUGGCAAUGACUUUUACCAAGUAUACUGCUUGUAAACAUUUGGUUAACAAGGCACGUCCUGCACAGCCCUAGAUCCCUUAAACCUUGAUUUUAUACAACACAUGUUUUUGUGAACUCCAAGUUGGGUCAAAGUGACUGAGGCAAAGUGGCUGGGGCAAAGCUACAAAUGAACAACAUCUCAGCAAAGCAAUUGUUAGAGUACAGAUCUUUUUCAAAAUGGAGUCUCUUAUGUCUUCCCUUUCUACAUAGACACAGUGACAG